rnacentral:rRNA from 1 species
GACGAACGCUGGCGGCGUGCUUAACACAUGCAAGUCGAACGGGUCUGCCCUGUUUUUUGCGGGGUGGGUCAGUGGCGAACGGGUGAGUAACACGUGAGUAACCUGCCCCUCACUUCUGGAUAGCCGCUUGAAAGGGUGGCUAAUACGGGGUGUUCUGGCUGUGCCGCAUGGUGUGGCUGGGAAAGAUUCACUUUUGUGGUGUUUUGGUGGGGGAUGGGCUCGCGGCCUAUCAGCUUGUUGGUGGGGUGAUGGCCUGCCAAGGCUUUGACGGGUAGCCGGCCUGGGAGGGUGGGCGGUCACACUGGGACUGAGAUACGGCCCAGACUCCUGCGGGAGGCAGCAGUGGGGGGUAUUGCACAAUGGGCGGAAGCCUGAUGCAGCGACGUCGCGUGAGGGAUGGAGGCCUUCGGGUUGUGAACCUCUUUCGCCGGUGAAGAAGGUCCUGCUCUUUGUGGUGGGGUUGACGGUAGCCGGGUUAUGAAGCGCCGGCUAACUACGG